rnacentral:rRNA from 1 species
GAAUUUACCAAAAGGACCGGGACAACCACUGGAAACGGUGGCUAAUACCGGAUGAGCCGAAAAGUAAAAAGGGAAACCUGCCUUUUGAAGAGCUCGCGUCUGAUUAGCUAGUUGGUGAGGUAAAGGCUCACCAAGGCGACGAUCAGUAGCUGGUCUGAGAGGAUGACCAGCCACACUGGGACUGAGACACGGCCCAGACUCCUACGGGAGGCAGCAGUGGGGAAUUUUCCGCAAUGGGCGAAAGCCUGACGGAGCAAGACCGCGUGAGGGAAGAAGGCUCUUGGGUCGUAAACCUCUUUUGUCAGGGAAGAACACAAUGACGGUACCUGACGAAUCAGCCUCGGCUAACUCCGUGCCAGCAGCCGCGGUAAUACGGAGGAGGCAAGCGUUAUCCGGAAUUAUUGGGCGUAAAGCGUCCGUAGGUGGCUAGUCAAGUCUGCGGUCAAAGACUGGGGCUUAACCCUGGAAAGGCCGUGGAAACUGACGAGCUAGAGUGCAGUAGGGGUAGAGGGAAUUCCCGGUGUAGCGGUGAAAUGCGUAGAGCUCGGGAAGAACAUCGGUGGCGAAAGCGCUCUACUGGACUGCAACUGACACUCAGGGACGAAAGCUAGGGGAGCGAAUGGGAUUAGAUACCCCAGUAGUCCUAGCCGUAAACGAUGGAUACUAGGUGUGGCUUGUAUCGACCCGAGCCGUGCCGAAGCUA